rnacentral:rRNA from 1 species
AACGAACGCUGGCGGCAUGCCUAACACAUGCAAGUCGAACGAGACCUUCGGGUCUAGUGGCGCACGGGUGCGUAACGCGUGGGAACCUGCCUUUAGGUUCGGAAUAACUCAGAGAAAUUUGAGCUAAUACCGGAUGAUGUCUUCGGACCAAAGAUUUAUCGCCUUUAGAUGGGCCCGCGUUGGAUUAGCUAGUUGGUGGGGUAAAGGCCUACCAAGGCGACGAUCCAUAGCUGGUCUGAGAGGAUGAUCAGCCACACUGGGAAUGAGACACGGCCCAGACUCCUACGGGAGGCAGCAGUGGGGAAUAUUGGACAAGGGGCGAAAGCCUGAUCCAGCAAUGCCGCGGGAGUGAUGAAGGCCUUAGGGUUGUAAAGCUCUUUUACCCGAGAUGAUAAUGACAGUAUCGGGAGAAUAAGCUCCGGCUAACUCCGUG